rnacentral:rRNA from 1 species
UACGGAGGAUGCAAGCGUUAUCCGGAAUGAUUGGGCGUAAAGCGUCCGCAGGUGGCGAUGUAAGUCUGCUGUUAAAGAGUGAGGCUCAACCUCAUAAGAGCAGUGGAAACUACAUAGCUAGAGUACGUUCAGGGCAGAGGGAAUUCCUGGUGUAGCGGUGAAAUGCGUAGAGAUCAGGAAGAACACCAGUGGCGAAGGCGCUCUGCUAGGCCGUAACUGACACUGAGGGACGAAAGCUAGGGGAGCGAAUGGG